UAAUACCCCUUAUGAUCUGUCCCUGGUUACUACUCUACCAUUCUCCUCCACUCAGCUAUAAUGAACUACUUCUUUUGCGCUGGUUCCUCUUCUUCCGAUCUCAUGGCCUUUCUUCAUACAACGGAUCUAAGUUCUUCUUCUGGGCUCUGUGGAAUGUGGAAUACUCAGAGACAGGAUCCAUCAGCCUGGUUCCAAGCACCAGUGUCUCCAGAGUCAUCACUGCAGUAACUACGGCGCUCACCACAGUGCUGAGCACGAAGGAGGCCUCCUAAAUCCUGACCUAAAUCCUAAAUCCUGGUUAAUCACCCCACCUCCCAACGUGUUGCACACAUUGCCUGAGCCACGGGCACCGACUUGCCAGCGCUCUGUACUUUGACGUUCACAUAGUCAUCCUUGGAGCUCACACCAACCCUGGGAGACUCUUGGAACAGGAACGCUUGGCUAUUCCUCUUCACGGAUGAGUUCGUAAAUCCAACUAGUGAUAAGAUUCGAGUAUAAACCUAGGACUUCUGACUCUUUCAUCCAGCCGACCUUCUUGCCCACUCUGUUUUCUUUUAUGAAUCCGUGGUCCCUGCCUUCCGUUCUCCUUCUCACUCACAGCCAUCUAUUAAUGUCUCACAGUUCAGUAAAUUGAUACUCAAACCACAGGUAUCUUCUGAGUGCUGC
rnacentral:lncRNA from 12 species